rnacentral:lncRNA from 1 species
GUACAUCAAGUGGAUCGUCUCUGCGGGGCUUGCCCAGGUCAGCGAGUUUUCCUUUGUCCUGGGGAGCCGGGCGCGAAGAGCGGGCGUCAUCUCUCGGGAGGUGUACCUCCUUAUACUGAGUGUGACCACGCUCAGCCUCUUGCUCGCCCCGGUGCUGUGGAGAGCUGCAAUCACGAGGUGUGUGCCCAGACCGGAGAGACGGUCCAGCCUCUGAUGGCUCGGAGAUGAUGGACCGUGGAAGGGAAGCGUCUGUGGGGAGUGAGCGCUUAGAUGGCCAGCAGCUGCUCCUUCUGGGAAGCUCGCACCUUGGCAACAGAACAGCCCUCUAGCAGAGCGUCAGUGCAGUCGUGUUAUCCCGGCUUUUACAGAAUAUUCUUGUCCUAUUUUAGAAUUUUCCGGAGUAGUUUAUUUGCAGUCUGUUGAUUAUGUGCAGUAGACCCGGGACACUGCGUUUUACCGAUCACCUUGAAUGUGGUGCCUGGAUGUGCCUUUUUUUUUUUUCCCUGAAAUUAUUAUUAAUUUUCUAUUGUGAGUUCAUCAGUUCAUAGUUUUUUUAGUAAAGAAGCAAAAUUAAAAGGCUUUUAAAAAUGUACAACUUCAGAAUUAUAAUCUGUUAGUCAAAUAUUUGUUAUUAAACAUUUCUGUAAUAUGAAGUUGUAAUCCUGGCCGUGAGCUUGGAAGCUUACUUUUGAUUCUUAAAGCCUAUGUUUUCUAAAAUGAGACAAAUACGGAUGUCUAUUUGCCUUUUAUUGUAACUUUUAAAUGAAAUAAUUUCAUGUCAAUUUCUAUUAGAUAUAUCACUUAAAAUAUUUGGUUUUAAAUCACAAGAAUAUGUAUUCUUUAAUAAAGAUAAUUUAUGAUCAUGGUAU